AUUGAACGCUGGCGGCAGGCCUAACACAUGCAAGUCGAGCGAGCGGCGGACGGGUGAGUAAUGCCUGGGAAACUGCCUGAUGGAGGGGGAUAACUACUGGAAACGGUAGCUAAUACCGCAUACCAUCAGAUGUGCCCAGAUGGGUUUAGCUAGUAGGUGGGGUAAUGGCUCACCUCGGCGACGAUCCCUAGCGGGUCUGAGAGGAUGACCAGCGACACUGAAACGAAGACACGGUCCAUACUCCAACGGUAGGCAGCGGUGGGGAAUAUCGCACAAUGGAGGCAAGCCGGAUGCAGCAAUUCGGCGGGUGGGAGGAAGGCCUUCGGGUUGAAAAGCACUUUCAGCGUGGAGGCGUUACCCGCAGAAGAAGCACCGGCUAACUCCGUGCCAGCAGCCGCGGUAAUAC
rnacentral:rRNA from 1 species